rnacentral:rRNA from 1 species
UGGGGAAUAUUGCACAAUGGGCGAAAGCCUGAUGCAGCGACGCCGCGUGAGGGAUGACGGCCUUCGGGUUGUAAACCUCUUUCAGCAGGGAAGAAGCCACAAGUGACGGUACCUGCAGAAGAAGCGCCGGCUAACUACGUGCCAGCAGCCGCGGUAAUACGUAGGGCGCAAGCGUUGUCCGGAAUUAUUGGGCGUAAAGAGCUCGUAGGCGGUUUGUCGCGUCUGCUGUGAAAGCCCGGGGCUUAACCCCGGGUGUGCAGUGGGUACGGGCAGACUAGAGUGCAGUAGGGGAGACUGGAAUUCCUGGUGUAGCGGUGGAAUGCGCAGAUAUCUGGAGGAACACCGAUGGCGAAGGCAGGUCUCUGGGCUGUUACUGACGCUGAGGAGCGAAAGCAUGGGGAGCGAACA